GGGGGAAGGAGUCUUGCUAGUUCAGCACAUUCUUCUUCAGUCUGUGCCUCCAUCACCUGUUCUGGCGAUAGGGAAUCCAACACACCAGUUGGAAGUUCUCGAAACCAGGCCUUAAUGAGACCUGCCAAGCAGUGGACAUCAACACCAUCUGGCACCACACCCCGAUUCAACUGGUCCCGAACGAAUUCCUCUUGGCUGUUC
rnacentral:misc_RNA from 1 species